CUUGGUUGGGUUUGUAGAACAAGGAAGGAAGGAAUAGGUUGGAGGUGGGGAUGGGGAGCACGUCCGCCCGUGCCGUCGUCGUCGUCGUGAGGAGGACUAUCGCGAUCGCGAUCGCCCACCGGCCGGCGGUUACCGGUAGGCGUAGAAGAAAGGGAGGAGGUGGAGGAAGAGGUGGCGGGUUGGCUCAUCGUGCCGCUGAUCCUGAUCGUCUGUCUCCGCUCCUAAGACGACGAAGACAAGUUCGUGUUCGUCGCGGCCGCGGCCGCUACUCCAGAGGAGGAGUAGCUACUACUGACACAGGUAGUGGCCUCGGUGCCCCAAGCAGCCUGCGUCCGAGCACGUGUUCGAGGAUAGGCUCCUAGUGUUCCACACGCAGAACUGUGCGAGGUGGAGGUUCCGGAGGAGACAAAAGGGACGAAGCUCCAUAGGCCCGCACUGGCACCGCCUGUUCCUCCCUCUAACCCUCGCUACGUAAUCCCUGAGUUGACCACAACAGUUGGACCGUCCUUACGGGUAGUCGUGGUCCACCAGUGGUCUCUAAUUCUCCCUUUAAGACGUCUCGGCUCAGUUACAGUGGAGUUUCCAACACCUAGUGUAGUUAAGAUCACUGUCGUCGUUACCGUUACCAGGGAGACAAAAGCAGUCGCGUUGUCGGCAGCCGAUGAUGCCGUGGUCGCUCUGCCUGUCGAAGCUACUUAGGUCGGGUAGUCCGUUACUGAUGGACCGUGUACAUACGGCUCUUACCCUCCCGGCCCGUGCCGUUCACUUCGUCCUCGUGCAGGCCGACCACGAGUAAGCCUAGCCUCAGCAGGAGCCGUUCCUGCCGCCGCGAGACCGGUUCUACUAGGGGGAGAAGUACUACAAGCGGCCGCCCGGCGAGCCGUGUCCUUCUGUUACCAGAUGAGAAGACGAAGAAGAAGAAAGAAGAAGAAGAAACGAUCCAUCAUCCAUCAGUAGUCCACAUAUAUAUACAGGGUUUAUGUUAUGACUUGGACGUGUUACACUACACUUGCACUACACGGAGAUGCUUAUACAUGUAUAUAUAUCCAAGAGAACCUAAGUAGACCUGCUGGACCACCUAGAGUAGAUGCUCAGGGACGCCUUGGGCCGGAUGUGCCCGCACUAGUUGCCGUGCCGCGGGUUGGGCCACGCCGACAGCCUCGACACGCUCGCCGACCCCGUCCACCACCCCGCGGGCAGGACCGACGGCCACGGCCCCAACCGGUAGUUCCGGGACGACCCUCUUCCGCGCUGCCACCACGACCUGCCGGUCUUCCACGAGGGCCGGUCCCGGUGGGUCGAGCCGAAGAGGAUGGCGAUGGGGAUGCAGGCUCUACGCGAGUUCCGGUAGCGGUUUGUUGAGAUCGAUCGGUGGAGGAGAGAUUGACGUACGUACGUACGAUAAUAAAAGAAAGAAAGAGAGAUCAGAAAAGGAAAGGAGAGAACAUAUUAUUAUAUACAUGAUUCUACUAUCGUGUUUUUGUUGUAGCUAGCUUUAUAAAGGAAGCAGAUGUACGUACGUACGUGAAGAGGU
rnacentral:rRNA from 1 species